GCUGGCUGUAGUGGCAGACACCUGUAGUCCCAGCUACCAGGGAGGCUGAGGCAGGAGGAUCACUUAAGCCCAGCAGUACUGACUGGGUCAGCCUGGACAACACAGCAGGACUCUAUCUCAA
rnacentral:sRNA from 1 species